GGCGGAUGUACCCAAGUG
rnacentral:tRNA from 2 species